rnacentral:rRNA from 2 species
UUAAGUGACUAAGCGUACACGGUGGAUGCCUAGGCAGUCAGAGGCGAUGAAGGGCGUGCUAAUCUGCGAAAAGCGUCGGUAAGGUGAUAUGAACCGUUACAACCGGCGAUACCCGAAUGGGGAAACCCAGUGUGUUUCGACACACUAUCAUGUCAUGAAUACAUAGUGGCAUGAGGCGAACCGGGGGAACUGAAACAUCUAAGUACCCCGAGGAAAAGAAAUCAACCGAGAUUCCCCCAGUAGCGGCGAGCGAACGGGGAGGAGCCCAGAACCUGAAUCGGCUUGUGUGUUAGUGGAAGCGUCUGGAAAGUCGCGCAGCAAAGGGUGAUAGCCCCGUACACUAAAAUGCACAGGUCGUGAGUUCGAUGAGUAGGGCGGGACACGUGACAUCCUGUCUGAAUAUGGGGGGACCAUCCUCCAAGGCUAAAUACUCCUGACUGACCGAUAGUGAACCAGUACCGUGAGGGAAAGGCGAAAAGAACCCCGGCGAGGGGAGUGAAAUAGAACCUGAAACCGUGUACGUACAAGCAGUGGGAGCACCUUCGUGGUGUGACUGCGUACCUUUUGUAUAAUGGGUCAGCGACUUAUAUUUUGUAGCAAGGUUAACCGUAUAGGGGAGCCGUAGGGAAACCGAGUCUUAACUGGGCGAAUAGUUGCAAGGUAUAGACCCGAAACCCGGUGAUCUAGCCAUGGGCAGGUUGAAGGUUGGGUAACACUAACUGGAGGACCGAACCGACUAAUGUUGAAAAAUUAGCGGAUGACUUGUGGCUGGGGGUGAAAGGCCAAUCAAACCGGGAGAUAGCUGGUUCUCCCCGAAAGCUAUUUAGGUAGCGCCUCGUGAACUCAUCUUCGGGGGUAGAGCACUGUUUCGGCUAGGGGGCCAUCCCGGCUUACCAAACCGAUGCAAACUCCGAAUACCGAAGAAUGUUAUCACGGGAGACACACGGCGGGUGCUAACGUCCGUCGUGAAGAGGGAAACAACCCAGACCGCCAGCUAAGGUCCCAAAGUCAUGGUUAAGUGGGAAACGAUGUGGGAAGGCAUAGACAGCCAGGAUGUUGGCUUAGAAGCAGCCAUCAUUUAAAGAAAGCGUAAUAGCUCACUGGUCGAGUCGGCCUGCGCGGAAGAUGUAACGGGGCUAAACCAUGCACCGAAGCUGCGGCAGCGACGCUUAGGCGUUGUUGGGUAGGGGAGCGUUCUGUAAGCCGUUGAAGGUGGCCUGUGAGGGUUGCUGGAGGUAUCAGAAGUGCGAAUGCUGACAUAAGUAACGAUAAAGCGGGUGAAAAGCCCGCUCGCCGGAAGACCAAGGGUUCCUGUCCAACGUUAAUCGGGGCAGGGUGAGUCGACCCCUAAGGCGAGGCUGAAAAGCGUAGUCGAUGGGAAACAGGUUAAUAUUCCUGUACUUGGUGUUACUGCGAAGGGGGGACGGAGAAGGCUAGGCUAGCCGGGCGACGGUUGUCCCGGUUUAAGCGUGUAGGGGGUGUGACCUGGUAAAUCCGGUUACAUAUCAACCCUGAGGCGUGAUGACGAUGCACUACGGUGCAGAAGUAGUUGAUGCCCUGCUUCCAGGAAAAGCCUCUAAGCUCCAGGUAACAUUAAAUCGUACCCCAAACCGACACAGGUGGUCAGGUAGAGAAUACCAAGGCGCUUGAGAGAACUCGGGUGAAGGAACUAGGCAAAAUGGUGCCGUAACUUCGGGAGAAGGCACGCUGGCAUGUAGGUGAAGUCCCUUGCGGAUGGAGCUGAAGCCAGUCGAAGAUACCAGCUGGCUGCAACUGUUUAAUAAAAACACAGCACUGUGCAAACACGAAAGUGGACGUAUACGGUGUGACGCCUGCCCGGUGCUGGAAGGUUAAUUGAUGGGGUCAGCCGCAAGGCGAAGCUCUUGAUCGAAGCCCCAGUAAACGGCGGCCGUAACUAUAACGGUCCUAAGGUAGCGAAAUUCCUUGUCGGGUAAGUUCCGACCUGCACGAAUGGCGUAAUGAUGGCCAGGCUGUCUCCACCCGAGACUCAGUGAAAUUGAACUCGCUGUGAAGAUGCAGUGUACCCGCGGCAAGACGGAAAGACCCCGUGAACCUUUACUAUAGCUUGACACUGAACAUUGAGCCUUGAUGUGUAGGAUAGGUGGGAGGCUUUGAAGCGUGGACGCCAGUCUGCGUGGAGCCAUCCUUGAAAUACCACCCUUUAAUGUUUGAUGUUCUAACUCGGCCCCAUAAUCUGGGGUGAGGACAGUGUCUGGUGGGUAGUUUGACUGGGGCGGUCUCCUCCCAAAGAGUAACGGAGGAGCACGAAGGUUAGCUAAUCACGGUCGGACAUCGUGAGGUUAGUGCAAAGGCAUAAGCUAGCUUGACUGCGAGAGUGACGGCUCGAGCAGGUACGAAAGUAGGUCUUAGUGAUCCGGUGGUUCUGAAUGGAAGGGCCAUCGCUCAACGGAUAAAAGGUACUCCGGGGAUAACAGGCUGAUACCGCCCAAGAGUUCAUAUCGACGGCGGUGUUUGGCACCUCGAUGUCGGCUCAUCACAUCCUGGGGCUGAAGUAGGUCCCAAGGGUAUGGCUGUUCGCCAUUUAAAGUGGUACGCGAGCUGGGUUUAGAACGUCGUGAGACAGUUCGGUCCCUAUCUGCCGUGGGCGUUGGAAGAUUGAGAGGGGUUGCUCCUAGUACGAGAGGACCGGAGUGAACGCACCACUGGUGUUCGGGUUGUCAUGCCAAUGGCAUUGCCCGGUAGCUAAGUGCGGAAAAGAUAAGCGCUGAAAGCAUCUAAGCGCGAAACUUGCCUCAAGAUGAGUCUUCCCUGGGCCUUUAAGGCCCCUGAAGGAACGUUUAAGACUAAGACGUUGAUAGGCUGGGUGUGUAAGUGCAGCGAUGCAUUGAGCUAACCAGUACUAAUGAUCCGUGAGGCUUAACCUU